CUGGCGGCGGCUUACACAUGCAAGUCGAGCGGAAACGAAGGGAGCUUGCUCCCAGGCGUCGAGCGGCGGACGGGUGAGUAACGCGUAGGAAUCUGCCUGAUAGAGGGGGAUAGCCCGGGGAAACCCGGAUUAAUACCGCAUACGCCCUACGGGGGAAAGCAGGGGAUCUUCGGACCUUGCGCUAUCAGAUGAGCCUGCGUCGGAUUAGCUAGUUGGUAGGGUAAAGGCCUACCAAGGCGACGAUCCGUAACUGGUCUGAGAGGAUGAUCAGUCACACCGGAACUGAGACACGGUCCGGACUCCUACGGGAGGCAGCAGUGGGGAAUAUUGGACAAUGGGGGCAACCCUGAUCCAGCCAUGCCGCGUGUGUGAAGAAGGCCUUCGGGUUGUAAAGCACUUUAAGCAGGGAGGAAAGGGUGAAGGCUAAUAUCCUUCAUCAUUGACGUUACCUGCAGAAUAAGCACCGGCUAACUUCGUGCCAGCAGCCGCGGUAAUACGAAGGGUGCAAGCGUUAAUCGGAAUUACUGGGCGUAAAGCGCGCGUAGGCGGUCUGAUCAGUUGGAUGUGAAAGCCCAGGGCUCAACCUUGGAACUGCAUCCAAUACUGUCAGGCUAGAGUACGGGAGAGGGGGGUAGAAUUCCACGUGUAGCGGUGAAAUGCGUAGAGAUGUGGAGGAAUACCGGUGGCGAAGGCGGCCCCCUGGGAUCGAUACUGNACGCUGAGGUGCGAAAGCGUGGGGAGCAAACAGGNAUUAGAUACCCUGGUAGUCCACGCCGUAAA
rnacentral:rRNA from 1 species